GAUGAAGAACGUAGUGAAAUGCGAUAAGUAAUGUGAAUUGCAGAAUUCAGUGAAUCAUCGAAUCUUUGUACGCACAUUGCGCCCGUCAGUAUUCUGGCGGGCAUGCCUGUUCGAGCGUCAUUACGCCCCUCAAGUCCCCUGUGGACUUGGUGUUGGGGAUCGGCGAGGCUGGUUUUCCAGCACAGCCGUCCCUUAAAUUAAUUGGCGGUCUCGCCGUGGCCCUCCUCUGCGCAGUAGUAAAACACUCGCAACAGGAGCCCGGCGCGGUCCACUGCCGUAAAACCCCCCAACUUUUUAUAGUUGACCUCGAAUCAGGUAGGACUACCCGCUGAACUUAAGCAUAUCAAUAAGCGGAGGA
rnacentral:misc_RNA from 1 species